CGAGGAAUUUUGCGCAAUGGGCGAAAGCCUGACGCAGCAACGCCGCGUGGGUGAGGAAGGCCUUCGGGUCGUAAAGCCCUUUUGUCGGGGACGAAGUGGUGACGGUACCCGACGAAGAAGCCACGGCUAACUACGUGCCAGCAGCCGCGGUAAUACGUAGGUGGCGAGCGUUGUCCGGAUUUAUUGGGCGUAAAGCGCGCGCAGGCGGUGCGGUAAGUCCGUCGUGAAAUCUCCCGGCUCAACUGGGAGGGUGCGGUGGAGACUGCCGGACUGGAGGCACUCAGAGGCCGGUGGAAUUCCCGGUGUAGUGGUGAAAUGCGUAGAGAUCGGGAGGAACACCAGUGGCGAAGGCGGCCGGCUGGGGGUGACCUGACGCUGAGGCGCGAAAGCGUGGGGAGCGAACCG
rnacentral:rRNA from 1 species